rnacentral:snoRNA from 1 species
UUGCCCUGUUCAUAACCCCUUGACAGCAUAUUUCUGUGAAUAGGUUCCAUUCCCGUGCUACAUGAAAUCCAAUAAUGGAAGGCUGACAAAUUCCAUGCCCCUUCUGUAUUUGGAGACAAAA